rnacentral:rRNA from 1 species
GAUGAACGCUGGCGGCGUGCUUAACACAUGCAAGUCGAACGGAGUUGUUUCGCUGACGAGACUUCGGUCAAAUCUUGAAACAACUUAGUGGCGGACGGGUGAGUAACGCGUGGGUAACCUGCCAUAUACAGGGGGAUAACACUUAGAAAUAGGUGCUAAUACCGCAUAAGCGCACAGAGCUGCAUGGCUCGGUGUGAAAAACUCCGGUGGUAUAUGAUGGACCCGCGUCUGAUUAGCUAGUUGGUGAGGUAACGGCCCACCAAGGCGACGAUCAGUAGCCGGCCUGAGAGGGUGAACGGCCACAUUGGGACUGAGACACGGCCCAAACUCCUACGGGAGGCAGCAGUGGGGGAAUAUUGCACAAUGGGGGAAACCCUGAUGCAGCGACGCCGCGUGAGUGAAGAAGUAUUUCGGUAUGUAAAGCUCUAUCAGCAAGGAAGAAAAUGACGGUACUUGACUAAGAAGCCCCGGCUAACUACGUGCCAGCAGCCG